rnacentral:lncRNA from 1 species
CCAUACCAUCCUUGGCCAACAAAAGCACCCACCUCCCUCCUCUCCCUAGCAGUGAAGCCCUUCAAGACAAAGGCUCAUCACAACCAUCUCAAUAGGAAGUCUUUUAAGUUGCAGGAAUCAUCAAAAUCUCAUAUUUCCAGAGGCCAACUCUCUGUGCUAACUGCCCACAGGAUCCAGCUCCAAGGGACAGUCACCAUUCUGGUGACUUCCUUGCAGGCAGCUUUGACAGCCCAUCCCAGUGCAGUUUCCCUGCCAGCCCCAAAAGCUGUCACCUCUCAGGAAGGUGAGGGAUGGCAGCACUGGCAGCCUCAGGCUGCACAGGAGGAGCUCACUUCCAGGGAUGCAUGGCCUCAUGCCUGGAUGCCCUUGCAGCAGCAUAUCAGUCUCUCAUCCCCAGUGUCACAAACCCCCUGCUCUUUUAAUCUAAAUGUUCACAUCCUCACUUCCCAGAGUAAGAAACCACUUAUGCCUGGGAAUCAGCAAUUAAAAUCACAGGCCAUUUCUUGUCUGAUGGUUAAUGCUGUCUCCAGCAAGAUCCCUUCUUUUCCUCGAGCCUCCUAUCCAGCCACCAGCUCACAGUAAAACAUUCUGAUAGAAGUCCCUUCACACCAUGUCUCCAUUUAAGUUCACCACUGGUACUUCUGAGAUGAGCAGCAGUGGGUCAGCUGAGAGCUAUAGACCCACAGAUAGUCACAUAUUAAUUUUGCAUUAUGGAAAAUGGGGAAAAAGCUCUGAGAUUUGCUACUACUACAUCUAAGAAAAAAUGUAAACUGAUGGAAAGCCAAAGGAAACACAGACAAGCUCUGUUUAAUAUGAUGCCAUAUUGCAAUUUAAAAAGGUCUUGUGCUGUGCUGUCUGACAUGCUUCGCUUGGAAAUGAAAACUUCUGGAUUCAUCUCAUUUCCUCUCCCUUAAGCUAAUGGCAGCAAACAUUUGAAGCAAUUGCUCCCCCUAAGCUUCACUCACUGUUAAAUUACAGACAGUUUACAAUGCAGGUCAGAGCCAUGGCUGUUUCCAUGUAGAUGCUCAAUCUGGCACCCUGCUGAAGUUAAUGAAUCAACAAAAUUUUGUAAAAUUUAUUUUAUUGAUUUGCUUAUCUUUCUCUUUCCUGAGGAAAAAAGGGUAAGUCCCUGUAGACACUUUUAAAAGGACUAAACCCUUACUAAAGUCAUUCUGAGCUGUGUGAAAAGAAAAACCAGACCAAACUUUCUAAUAGAUAUAUUUGAACUAGUGGAAAUAAAAGAGCAUUUGCCAUGUUUGACGAUCUGUAU